rnacentral:tRNA from 1 species
UCCCCAGUGGCGCAAUUGGUUAGCGCGUGGUACUUAUAAUGCCGAGGUUGUGAGUUCGAUCCUCACCUGGGGAA